rnacentral:lncRNA from 1 species
GGGUGAUUAAUCCGAAUCGGGGUGAGGACAGGUGUUGUGAUGGACAAAGCGUAAGACAAGGUGGUUCUCGACAGAAGCAAGAAAGCUCUGACAAAAGACAGCUAGGUAUUCCUUUUGCAGACAAAUUAAGAAGACAAAAGAUAGAAAAUAUAGGGUGGUGGUCGAAGAUAAAUGAUUAUAACAGCACUGAUAUGAUCUGCUUCGCCUUCGUCCACCACCUCAUCUUUAUGUUUAUAUCUUGGUCGUGACUCACGUUGGCCUUCGUCUGCAAGUGCUGUCGGUCCUACUAUUGUGCUUGUGUUUCCUAGCUUUGAUUUCUAUGUAUUAGGGUCUGGGGUGAAGUUAGAAAAAUAUUUUUAAGAAUUGAAGUUAAAUUAUAUAUUUUUAUAAGAGUUAAAAUGUAAUUUCAUAAUUAUAUUAGUUUAUGUUUUUAUAGUUUUUAGAGGUCUUAAAUUAAAAUCUUAUCAUUUUUUUUUGGAUAAAUUGUGAUUUUACAAUGUUUAACUUAUAAUUUUAUAGAUUUUAGAAAGGCCCAAAUAACAAUUUUUCAUUUUAGUGGUCUAAAAAGUAAUUUUCAUUUUAAGGAGGCCACUCCCCUUGCUCCAGUCACCGCCUUUACGACGAGAUUAAUUAUAGUGAGAUUGAAAAUAGAUGUGAUAGUGAGAUUAACUAUUAUGGUGAUGAGAAUAAAAUCACUGGUGAGACGUGUCUUAGGAUUUAAACAUAUAGAUUGUAGAUUUAUAGUAAGAGAGCAAAAUGACCAUUAUGAACAUUAAACUAAAAUUAAACUAAAUUAGUUUGCACCCUUCCGUAUCUUUUUUAUAAUUAAUAUUUUAACGAUAAAAACAUUAUAUUUCAUAUUUCAUUUAUAUAAAUUAUGCAUGUCAAAUUUGACGUAAAUUAAAAAUUUCUAACUAUUUGUUUUAUGUAAAAAUACUUUUAACUGUUUAAUAAAUGUUAAUAUAUACAAUAUUUUAGAUCGAUAAGAUAGAAAUAUCAAAUCAAUUUGAAAAUUUGCAUGCAUGAAUCAUACAAUAAUUUUGAUAAAUUCAAUGGUUGGAUUGUUAAAUUAAUAAUCAUAUAAAAAUAUAUGGAAGGAUGUAAAAUUACUUUAGUUUCACACUAGUGUAAGCGGAUCUCUCCCAUUUUAAUAUAUAAAGUUAAUUAUAUAAUUUAAAAUUAUGUAAUUAAUAUUAUUUAUAAAUAUAAGUAUAAAUAUAUUUCUUUAUAUGCCUAACUAAUGUAAAGAAAAUCCACAAAGAAGCUAUUUGUUGAGGGGAGGUCGGACUCUCUUUUGGGAGAAGUCUUCUAAGUGUCAUCUAUUUGGGAGUUGAUGGACCCCUCAAUAAGAGGUAUUUUUCUCGUGUUGGGGUUUCUUCCCUGGCCUUCACAAAGAGCAGCUAUACGAUUCUCAAAAGGGGGCUCGAUUGGUGGAGAUAGGUACAAUGGCUCUUUGCGAAGGUUGAGGGAAAAACCUUGACACGAUGACAAUACAUUUUGUUGAGGAUUCUGUUGACUCUCAAGCGGGCAAUACUUCGAAGACUUCUCCUAAGAGAAAAUCUAACCUCCCCUCAACACUAUUCACAUACACUUAUCCCAAACCAACAACCAAAUAUCACUACAACCACAAUCAAUCAUACAAAAAUGCCAAAUAAUCCCAAAUAAAAGAAGGAAGAAAGUCUCCUAUGUUAGCAUCCUCAAAUAGGACUUAUAGAAUUAAAAAAAAAAGAAUGAAAAUAUAUAAUAAAAAAAAUGAGACAUAAACGUACUGGAUUCAGUUAGGAGUUAGUCGGAGAGUUUUGGGCGUGGAGGCUCAAACAAAAGGUCGAGGAGAAAGUCUUAUUAAGAAGAUGAACAUAUUGGACUCAAGUGACCAUCCGAUGAUGGCAAACAAAGAUCAAAUAGCUUCCUUGUUAGAUUUUUAAGUUUGAAUCAACGAAGUUUCAGGCCAUUUUAAGGAAAAUUAAAUCAUAAAGUUGAAAGAGGAAGGAUAGAGCUAUACUUUUAUGUGUUUCUUUGGUAAAGGAGGAGGUUGGACAAUGGUGAGAUUGCUGGAAUACAAUAGUGAAAGAGGUUCCUAAAACUCUAAAACUUUUGAAUAGUUUAGUGACCAACUUAUAACUCUUCUGAAAUUAAGUGACCAAAGUGUAAACUUAUUAAUAUUUAAGUGACCUUGGGUGUAGUUUACCCCAUGAUGAAUAGUGAGUUAACGAUCAUGUCAGACAAACAUUAGCAACCUAAUGGUUCAAUGACUUAAAUGAUAGAUUUUGAAUAGUUAAAUGACUAAUUUAUAACUUUUUAAAUUACUAAUAGCCGAGUAAACUUGAAUGUAAUUUACCCUCUCUUGUUUGACUUAAAAAAUCAAAUACAAGAUGGACUUUUCCAUAAUAGGCCGACACCAACAAUGUGGAAAUAGCACGGUCCAUACCUAUAAUUGUUGAUAUCGAAGGAAGAAGACUUCAAUGACUAAAUGACAUGAAUAUAAUGUAGAAAAAGUUAUGGAAGAAAGAGUCCACGAACCCCCUUCUUUUUUGCCUCUAGAUUUGUAAGUUUGUGAAGAAAAACUAGUGAUAGUCUUUUUGUCCCUAUAUCUAGUAAACUACCCAUAAAAAUUAUCUCUUGAGUAGAAAGGGAUGACUUGGGAAAAAUUAAACAAAAUUUAUAAUUUUUUGGGAUAAAUUUUAAAAUUAUAUAAACAUUUAUUUAACGUGUAAUUUAAUACGUAAAUUUUAAUUUUAUGUAAUUAUAUAUACGAUCCCUUGUAAAAUGAGAAUUCAGAUGAAUUUAUGAAUUUACGUAUCAAAUUCAUUUUGGGGCUGGAAGCGCCCUUGUAAAUUUUACUUUUGCUCUUAAAAAAUGAUAAAAUUUUAAUUAAUCUUUUAAAAAUUAAAAAAAAGAUAUAAUUUAUUAAAAUGAUAAGAUUUCAUUUUAACUCUCCUAAAGAAUAUGUAAUUCAAUUAUGACUUUUUUAAACAAUAAAUUUUUGACUUCAUCCUUAUUCGAACUUCAAAAAUUACUCGAGAAAAAAAGUUUUGCUGAAUAAGGCAACAAACCAAAGGGAAACGAGAUUCACGAGGGGAUGAAGACGAAAUACAAAACCAAAGGGAUAACCAAAGGAGAAAAGUUGUAUAAAAUAUAUGUGGUAGCGGGGAAGAGAUGCCAAGGGGUUAAUUUAUAUUUUGUUAUUCAAUAUAUAUAUUUAAUUCUUUCACUAUUUAUUGCUAUACAAAUAUUAGAUUUAUUUAAAAAUUAUGCUAUUUAUUUGUCGGAUUAAUCGUAUUUCUGGCCAGAGCAUUGAACCUAUUUGAAGUGGUUUAUAUUGUCCUAAAAAAUUCCAUGUACAAACAAUAAUUAAUUUUACUUCCCCACCUAACUACUCUUGGCUGGGGUAGGUUCUGGCAGAGAAGUUAUAGACACAUUUUCAUACUUUGGGUUUGGAAUACUUUACUUAAUUUCCUUUGCUGUAUUGAGUUUUGGCAAUAUUUAUCAUGCACUUUGAGACCUAAAACUCUUGAAUAAUCUUUUUCAUUUUUCGGUUAUGUAUAGAAAGAUAGAAAUAAAAUGACCAUAAUUUUGGAUAUUCACUUCAUUUUGCUUGAUACAGGUUCUGUUUUUCUAGUAUACAAUAUCUGAGCUUAGUUCAAAUUUAAAUAAAAUAAUUUAAUAUUUUGAAUUAAACCAAACUUAAACAAACCUAUUGAUACUAAAUAUAAAUCUAACAUAAACCUAGCGGCCCAUGAGUGCUUUACAUACUAAUAAAAUCAACUAAUAUUUUAUAAAUACUAUUAAAUAUAUAUUAUCAGGUAAUAUAAAUGUUGAUCAAAUAACAAAAAAAUUCAUGUAUAUUCUUUACAUAAAGUUAGAAUCUUUUGCGCACUGUCUUAAAUCUAUUGACAUCGGUAUUAUUGUUAGUGCAGGAGAAUAUGUGUUCGAGUACACUGAGACAUAUUAUCCUCUUAUUUAAAGGUUGAGAAGAAAUUAUAAAUAAUUCUAAUUACUAUUUCAAAUUUUAUUAUAAUGGAUGAAUGGUUGUCUUAGAUCACAAGCUAAAUUUUGGGUUUUAUUUAAUAUUGGGCUAUUUGGUUUAUAAGACUCUUCGACCUCUUUUUUUUUUUUUUUUAAGAAUACAAACAAAUUGAGCUUAUUUUUUUUAUUUAUUUUUAAGUAUAUUUAUAUAAUAUUAAAUAUAUAAAUAUGUUUUAUUAUUUUGUUAUUAAAUAUUACAAAAAUUUACAAAUAAAUCAACAAAUUACAAAAAAACCCUAAGUUUUACAGAUUUUACGGUUUGAUCCUUAUGUUCUGAAAUAUUAACUGUUUAAGUGAUGAAUGAAUAUUUGUUACACGUUUUAAGCUUUUAUUUAUUAAAAUUUGCUUUAUUUCUAUGGAUUUUUAAUUAAAUUUGAGGACAAUGCAUAAUAUUAAAUUUAGCUCUUAACAUUUACAUAUUUUAUCAAUUUGGCUUUUGUUAUUUUUUUAGACAAAUUUUGGCCUUCAACCUUUUAGAAAAGAGUUAAAAUGAUGUUUUUGUUAUUAAAUGAUGUUUUUUUAGAAAAAUCCUCAAUAAUCUCUAAUUUCUAGGGAUUAUUUACCAAAAAAACUCAACAAUCCCUCCCUUAAACUGAAAGUACAAUGAACUUUCAGUUUAAUAAAUACUUACUACUCAAUGUCAAAGACCAAGUAUUUUCCUGAACUUGACAAAUGAUGCCAACUUGAGAGGCUUAGUAAAUACAUCAACAACUUAAUUUUCACUUCUGUAAUACUUUAGCUUAAUUGCUCUUUCAUUGCUGAAAUAUGACAGAAAGUAAUAUUUUACAUCAAUAUUCUUGCUUCUUCCAUGCAACACAAGAUUUUUUGACAACUUGAUGGCUGAGUUGUUAUCACAAAAAAAUAUAGCGGCUCUUUUUGGCUUGAAUUGUAGUUGUUCAAGGAUUCUCCUAAGCCAAAUAGCUUGACAAGCACAAGCUGUAGUGUCAAAAAAUAUGACAAUGGAUUGUUUCUUAGAUGAUCACGAAAUAGCUCCUGUUUUAAGCAUAAAAACAUAACCUAAAAUGCUCAUUCUAUCAUCUUGAUCUCUUGCAUAAUCACUACCAGUGAAGCCAAUCAUGUUUGUCACCCUUUUUGUAGAAAAUCCAAAAUCUUUGGUUCUUUAUAAGUAACGAAGGAUUCUCUUAGCAGCUAAUAAAUGUUUUUCAAUCGGGCUCUUCAUGUACCUGCUAAUAAGACUCAUAGAAUACUAAUAGAGUUAGAUACAUCAAACUACCUACAAUUUUCUUGUAAACUAUGCUAUCCACAUUCUUUAAUAAGUUUUAAACCAAACUCAGUUGGAGUGUUGGAAGAGUUACAAUUCUUCAUCUUGAAUUUGUCCAAAAUCUCUCUCACAUAAUUUUUCUCUUCCUUCAAGUAUUCAUGUAAGAAUGUCGACUUGAUAUCUAACUGGAAGAUUGACCAAGAGUUCUGCGCUACUAAAGCAAUCACCAAUCUGAUAGUGUUAUGUCUUGCAACUAGGGUAAAAAAUUUUGUGUAGUCUACACCAUACUCUUGUUUGUACCCCUUAGCCGCUAAUUGCGUAUUGCACUUCUCAACCUCUUUGUUUUCCUUCAACUUCGUCUUGUAGAUCCACUUGACACCAAUGGUUUUGUGCCCCUCAAGAAGAUCAGUCAUCUCCUAAGUAUCAUUCCUUUUAAUGGCUUUGAUUUUAGCAUCCAUUGCCUCUUUCCAUUUUGCCUCAUUGGCAACAUUUUCAAAACUUGUUGGGCCACAAUCUGUAAAUAAUGCAAAUUGAGCAAUUGCAUCAUCAUUUUCUCUAAUUUUGGUUACGUCAUAAUCUUACAUCCAUGCUGGCCUUCUUCGAACAUGACGAAGUGCUUCAGCUAUUGUACUAGUUUCUUCUUUAUGUGUAAACAAUACUUUAGUGGCUAAUAGAGAAGUAUUCUUGAGCAUUUCUUCAGCUUUAUUAUCAUAAAGAACUGUAUAGGUUGUGCUUCAUCCCAAUCCCAAGUUUUCUCUUCAUGAAACAUAACUCUCGGCUAAUCAUGACCUUCUUUCUCACAGGAUUAAACAAUUUGUAUGCCUUCAAUUUGAUGUUUCACUAAUACCAAAAAAGACACAUCAACAAGCUUCUUCCAUUUCUCCUUUGAGACAUGUGCUUAGGUAAUGCGCCUAAAAAUUCUGAAGUGAUCUAUCACCGGUCUCCUUCCACUUUAAGCCUUCUCCGGAGUCACAUCUUGAAGAGAAUUAGUAGGGCUCCUAUUCAAGAUGUGGAUGUUCCAAUUUAUAGCUUUUGACCAAAACACCUUUGGAAUUCUCCCUCUUACUAGUAGGCUUCGAACCAUGUUGAGAAUGGUUUAAUUUUUCCUCUCUGAUACAUUAUUUUUUUGUUGUGUAUAAGUAGUUGUGAGCUCUCUUUGGAUGCUGUGAACAUCACAAGUCUUCAAACGCCUUAGAGGAAUAUUCACCACCAGGACUAGUUCGAAGAGGUUGAAUGGUUCUUCCUUUCUCAUUUCCUACACUAGCUUUAAAGCUUUUAAAUUUGAUUUUUCUUGUAAAGGUAAACCCAUGUCUUACAAGUAUAAUAAUCAAUAAAGGUAAUAAAUUUCCAUUAUAAAUUGGAUUUAUUGGCCCACAAAUGUCUGAAUGCACCAACUCCAAUACCUCUUUUACUUUCCAUAACUUACUUUUAGGAAAUUGAGAUCGAUGUGGUUUGCUAGCAACAAAUUCUUCACAAACUAGCAAAGGAAAGAUAAUUGGAGGAAGACCAGUCACCAUAUUUUUAUUUUUAAGUAUCUUCAAACCACCAAAGUUUAAAUGACCAUAGCAAAAAUACCACAACCAAGAAGGAUAUUUAACUUCUACUAUUGUUGACACCAAUUUUUUAGAUGAAAACGGGGUCAACUUGGGUUUUGACGAAAACGAAAAAAACGGGAGUCACCACCAAUCCUUUUUGAUAAGGUGUGAUUGGAUCACCUUGAAAAGUGGUUGUUUUUAAUAAACGAUUUAAUUUUAUGAAAACAACGAGUUUGGUCCGCAAAAUUCAGAAGAAAAAAAUUCGGGUUCGGGAGUCGGUUACGUACGAGGAAGGAUUAGCACCCUCAUAACGCCCAAAAUUGGUACCUAGUUGAUUAGCUAAUGUCUUAAUGUCGAAAAUUGAAAACUUUGAAGAAUUUUAAAAAACGAUCCUUGUAUGUUGAGAUUUUUUGGGAAAAAAGGGCAUAUUUCACGUUGAUCGAGAAAAAGAAUCAUAUCUAGUGAGUUAGGACACAAUGUCUCGAAUUCCCGAUACGCGAAUAAAAAUGCUUAUUUAAAAGACAUUUUAGCUAUCUCGAAUUUAAAAGGGAGAUCACGACCAGUAAGUUAGGACGUGAUUUUUAAAACUUGAGUUUGAAAAGAUUCAUGUAAUAAAGUUUAAAAGGAUAUUCAAACGUUUAAAUCAAAAGAAGAAAUCACGACCCAAUACGUUAGGGCACAAUUUCUCAAAAUAUUAAACAUUAAAUAUUGCGUUUAUUGCGAAAAAUCCUCGUCUCGAGAAAAUAACGUGUCACGUCCAAUGCGUUAAGACACAAUGUAUUGAAUUCUCGAUAAUGAGCUUUUUAGUUAUAUUUUUUUUAUAAAAAGAGUAAUCUCGAUUAUUUAGAUUCAACAAAUAAAAUCGGAACCCAAUACGUUAGGGCUUGAUUCUCUCGAAGAUUCCAAAUACCGAGUGGUACUUAUAUUUUUAAAAUUUUCGCUUUUUACGUAUUCGAGUAAAAAUUAUAUAUGAUAGAAUAACUAUUAUGAUAUGCAAGUAAAAAUAAUACGAGCAGUAGCAAAUAAAAGAUAAAUAAAAGACAAACUAAUUAUACAAGGUAAUAAGCAGAUAAGCUUUUCAAAUAAAAUGAGCAUAAGAUAGAAAGCAAAUGUCGCACGAAACAAUGAAAUUAUAGAAGAAAUAAAAAGGAAUGUAUAUAAAAAAUGUAUAUGUAUGUAUUUGAAAUUAUACAAAAUGUGUAAGUGUAUAUACAUAUGUGUAUAAAAUUACGGAAAUAUGAAAAGUAUAUACAUGUAUACAUAUUUUAAAAUUAUUAUACAUGAAAAUAUAUGUAAGUAUGUAUUAAAAUAUGUAUAUAUGUAGGUAUAUAAAAAUUAUGAAGUAUAUAAAAAGAUAAAAGUAUGUAUAUAUAUACACAUUUAAAAAAAACUUAAAAAUAUGUACAUGUGUGUAUUUUUAAAAAAGAGUAUUGAUGUGUAUAUAUAAAAUAUAUAAAAAAAACAUAUGUAUGAAUAUAUACAUAAUUGUGAAUAUAAAAAGGGUACACGGUUAUAUACAUAUAGAUAUAGACAUGCGUAUGGAUAUUAAAAUAUAUAUAUAUGAGUAUAUGAGUAUAGAUAGAUUAUGAAAAUCUGCCCAUGCAAGUAUAUAUACAUAUAUAUAUAUUAUAAGAGCGCAUGUAUGUAUGUAUAUUUAUAUAUAAAAAAUGUAUGUAUAGACAAAUUAUAAAGUACAUAAAAAAAAAUAUAUAUAACAAAAUCUAAAAAUGGUAUAAAUGGAUAAAUAAAAUGCACUAAUAAUAAUAAUAAUAAUAAUAAUAAUAAUAAUAAUAUGAUGCAAUAAUAUAACAAUGAAUAGAUAAGUAUGUAAAUAAAAUACAAAAAUAACACAAAUAGACUAAUUAGGAAUAAAAAUAAAAUUAAAGGGUCGAAAUUGUAAUAAAAUAAAUACGGAGGGAUGAAAAUGGAAAAUAGCAUGAAAGGGCAGGGGCCAAAUGAGUGAAUAUACCAGACCUUGGACACGUGUCCACUUUUUAGGGCGCUGAGGGGUCAGGGAUCCGAUUGAAAUCCAAACAAAGUUGCAGGGCCGAAUUAAAAAGUGAAAAUAAACAAAGUUGCAGGGCCAGGAUUGCAAAUAACCUAUUCCAUGAAAACGCGCGGGUCAUGGGGCUAAACGGCGCCGCUUUGUGCAGGCUAUAAAAGCCAAAAAUUUGUCAAAACUUCUCAAUUUUCCUUUUUUCCCCAAAAAAACAAAAAAAGGCUCUCAAACCCCCCAUUUUCUGGUCUCGGGUUUGGCCAAGGGCCACCGUAUCGGCCGUCGGAUCGCCGGCGUCGGCGACGCCGUACACAGUGGCCGGCGAGUAUAGAAAGGCUUGCCCCUAUAGAUCCCGACCUUCUAAACUCGGAUCUGGCCUCAAAAUAACCAAAAACGAUGGGGAAAAGGUCGUUAGGCUUCCCUACAGUCGGUUUCGUCACCGGAGGAGUCUCCGACGAGGAGGAAACCAGUGACCCGCGGUGAGUUUCUCCUUUUUAUUUAUUUUUUAUUUUCGUUUUUAGAAAUCAAAAUAGAAAAUAAAAUAACCAAAAAAAAGAUUGUAAUCGAAAAAACUAGGAAAUCACCUUGAAGCUUGAUUUUUUUUAUUAUUCUGUUGAUAUUUGCUUUUUUGUUACAAAAAUCGGGAAAAUAAAAAAGAAAAAGCCCCCUCAAAGUUACAUGUUCUUCGGCUUUUAAAGUCAAUUUUUGUUACUGUUCCUGUCUUGUUUGUUUCUCUUCUUUGCAAGUGACGGUGCAAGUGGCCGAUGGUGGCAAGCGGUGGCAGUGUCAGAGGGCAGGUAGCUACGGCGCUAGGGUUUCAGAAAAGCUGAAACCCUAGUUUGACUUUGGGUUUGCUGGGCUAGGACAUUGGGCCUGUAAUUGGCUGUUGGGGUUUGGGUCAUUAGGUCAGUGAGCUGGUGGGCAAAAUUGGGCUGGUACAACUAUUAAACAAGAUUGAACAACCUCAAUCUUCAAUGGAAACAACCUAUUCUGACUUAUUUCCAUAAUAGCAACAACUGUUCUAGAUGGAUUAGAAAUCUCACAAGCACCAUUCGUGAAAGUGACAACAUACCCUUUUUCCAACAGUGGCAUCAAAGCCAAGUUUAUUCUUGUUAGCUUAGAAAACUUUUCACCUAUGGCCUCGAAAAGUAGUUUUGUUCAAGUAGUUAUUCCUUAUUUUGAUGAUCAUUAUGACCAUUGGAGUACGCUAAUGGAGAAUUUCCUAUGGUCAAAAAAGUAUUGGCCAAUGGUUGAGGCAGGUAUCGAAGAGCCUGCAGAAGGAGAAACUUUGACUAAUGCCUGGAAAGUAAAGUUCGAAGCGAGAAUGCUGAAAGAUUUGAAGGUGAAAAAUCAUCUCUUUCAAGCUAUUGAUUGUCCCAUCUUGAAAACUGUUCUUUGCAAAAAAACUUUCAAGGAUAUAUGAGAUUCCAUGAAGAAAAAGUAUCGAGGCACUGCCAGAGUGAAGUAAUAACAUCUUCAAGCCUUGAGGAGGGACUUCGAGACUCUAUAGAUAAAUGAAUGGGAAUCUAUCACUAGAAAUUGUGUUAGAACCAUGGAGAUUUGUAAUAGGAUGUAGUUCUAUGAUGAGAAGAUGGAGGGUGCCACCAUAGUGGAGAAGAUUUUGCGCUCCAUGAUGCUGAAGUUUGACAUGUCGUUUGCAUCAUUGAAGAGUCAAAAUACAUGAUGAAUUGUCUCUUGAUGAGUUGUAAAACUCUUUAUUUGUACAUGAGCAAAAGAUGAAUUUUACUUCAGCCUUCAAGGAACAAACUUUGAAGGCUUUUACUUUUUUUUUCAAUUUUAGAGGAAUAGGUAAAGGUAGAGGUAUAUAUUGGGAAAUGUGCCCAUAUUUUAGUAAACAUGUAACUACUUUUUAUUUAUUUAAACAGUGAAUUAAUAAAUAAAAUUAAUUUCACAUUUCGCUAUUAUGUCUUUUGUAUUUUCGGUCUUUUAUAUUUACAAUACAUAGCAAAAUUGUGACAAGCAAAUAUUAGCUCAUUGAUUGUCUAAAGUUCAAACUGAAGAUAAGUGACAUUGUAAAGAAUAUUUACAUUGUGAGAAAGACUACUUAUUUUAGUAGAUAAUCUAAAUUAGUUCGUAAUCUCGUAAAAGAAUCAAAGUGAGCAUUUGAUUCACAUACUGAGAAGGAUUAUUAUGUCUUCUACAAUUCCAAUUGGGGAGAUUGCUAGUCUUGGCUAUUGGAGCAGUUGACUCCAUUAGUAGAGAAAUAGAUGUAUUCAUUGGUAGAAUGAUACAUUGGACUGGACCCAAAAUGAAUUAAUUUUGAAUCUAUUUGUGAAUUAAUUCACUUGUGACGUUCGUGGUGUGGUUUACCCAAAUCUUAAGUUAGUCACUGACCAUGCGUAUCGAACCCAUGUGCUUUGAUACAAGUGGAGGCUUAUGCUCUAAGGAUGAUCGAGCCCACAGUCGGUAUGUUGGGUACAUAACUUGUGUAUGACAUGACUUUACUAGCAACAAUGUAAUUCAUAGCUCAAUUAAAGAGUUAAUGAUAUCCUCUCAUUGGUAUUGUAUGGAUUGAUAAAUAUAAAACGUGGCCACGGGGUGCUUAUUCUCGAAAGAGUAAUUUAUUACAGUCAUUUGUUGACAGUGGUCGUAUUAAUCAUUAAGAAGACACAAUGGUGAUAAUGAGAUAAAAUAAGAUUGUAUUAAGUGAACGACUUUAACUCAAAGGAAUCAAUGAUAUCAUAUGAGGGUAACACACAUCAUGAGGUCAUUGGACAAAGCAGUUGGAUGAAUUGCUUUCUUAAAGAGUAUACAAUAAGGAGUUUUCAAUUAUGGCACUUCUUAUGGACUGACUCUUGAUUAAGUAAUUGCGAAUUAUCGUAACGAUGCUUUUGGACAUAAUUACAAUCACUAGAGCCUAAUUGUAUAUGUUCAAUUGGUCCAUCCGUUAGCUCAACAAAAGCUUGAUCAUUCUGCAUUUGAAUCAGAAGAAAAUUCUACGACUUUAGAAAUGAUUUAAUUGAGUCAAUUUAUUCGAUAUGGAAUUAAAUUAGGUGGUCGUGAGAAUUGUUCAACUAGAGAAUUUGAUUAAAAAUUUUUCUUAAAAAAUUAAUUUGGAAAAUCUAAGUGAUUUUUGGGAAAAUUAAUUUUGAUCAAGUAAAAUUAAAUUAAUCAAAUCAAUUAAAAUUAAUAUGAUAUUUUUGGAAAUUAAUUUUCAAGUAAGACAAUUGGCCCAAUAGGUAAUUGAACUUAAAAAUUGGACCUGAGAUCGUGAGCGUGAGAGCCCAAAACCAAGACCAAGACCAUGACCCAAAAACUUGUCGAACUGGGCCCGGUAUGUGAAACCGGGCCGACGGUCCAAUUGGUGACUAGAUUGAAUUGGUCGGGUUGACAUUGACCCGGACCAAACCAGCUUAGGGUGCCGUAAGGGUGUCCCACCUACGUCACCGGACAUGUCGGUGUGGGUGGCUGCAACGGCGGCGUCCUGGUGACUGGCGGCAGUUGGUCAUCGAUGAUUGAGUUGUGGAAGGGUUACUCUCCUAUUGGGACUCUACCAGAGAAUUUGAUUUCAAAUUAACUACUUCAAAAAUAAUAUUAUUUUAAUAGUUUAACAUUAAAUUCAAUUUAAUGUUUAUCUUGUAGAUAAAUAUUUUAUUAUUUUAAUAAGAUUUAAUAUUAAAUUUAAUCUAAUAUUUAUCUUGAUAAAUAUUAGAUUAUAUUAAUUGAAUAUUAAAGUGAUUUAGUUUAAUCAUAGUUGAACUCUCUAAACUCUCCUUAUAUAAAGAGAGCAUUGAGUCAUUAUUUACACACACUUGAGUUCAAGAGAAAGUUGUAGAGAGAAAAUUUUCUGAAGAGAUUAUUCUAAAAAAUUUCUAGAGAUAUUUUUUUGAUUUAUAACUUGACCCAAAAGUUUAGAGAGAUUGCAAAAUUACCCCACUGGUAAUUUUUAUGAAAAAUUUUCUAAUUCGAAGUGAGCUCACAUUUGGCAGACAUGAGCUUGAGGAUUGUGGAGAAGGCUACUCGGUCGAAGCGCUAAUCCUAGACGAAUCAAAAAGAUAUAAUUUGGAUUAAGUGUUUAUUAUUUUAGAUAUCACAACCUAAAUUUAUUUUCCUCUGUAUUUUCUAAAUCUUUUUUCCAACAAUAUAGGGAGAAGUUUGAGCUAAUAGAAAAAGUGGCAACAGAAAUGGUAGCAAGAAUUACAAAAUCAAUGAUGACCAAAGUAAGGAUAAAUGACGAGAUUUUGAUAAAUCUAAAAUAAAAUGCUUCAUAAGGUAAAAAUUUGGUCAUUGUCAUUUUGAAUGUUAUUUUAGGCUACUAAAUGAUAAGGAUGAACAAGCGACAUUCACUGGACCAGGAGCGCCCCCUCUAGUAAAAGCUUCCACUGCCGGUUAACCAAUCACAUUGAAAAGGAAGCUGAGACAAAUGUAUAAUAUGUGGAUAUAGGUUGUAGUAUUUUUUUCGUAUUUAAAUGAUAAUUUUCGUUGUAGAAUCACCUCUGGUGAUUAUUGUACUGUCGAUUUCAUAAUUAAAAUUUUACAUGAAAUUUAAUGUUUUCUAAAAACCUUUGUUUUUGAAGACUUUUGUUACUAUACCCCGCUCCAUAUAAGAUCCAUCACCGUCAAAUGACAAAAAGUAAUUCAAUGCACUUUAAUUGUGCCAGCGGCUCCAAGCCCAUUGAUUUCACUAUAAAUUCCAUGCUUUUAGGUUAACCAUCUUCACACAAUCAAAUCAAGCUAGUUCGCAAUGGCUUCCACUACCAAUUCCCCAUCAACCCUCCUCACCCUUCCUAAUUUCUCCAUUCAAACUUCAACAUUCCUUCCCAAAACAUCUCAAGGUUCCAUAUUUAAGAAGAAAAAGCCUUUCAACUUUAACUCCAAAAGAGUAGUGUCAUGCAAAGCCAGCAAUGGGAAACAAAACGAUGCAAAUCACACUUCUUUUCUCAAUAGGUUCGAUAGAAGGGACAUCUUCCUUGGCCUUGGAGGAAGUCUCUACGGUGCAACCAGCCUUGUUAGAGACCCAUUUGCAUUGGCAGUCGUCCCAAUCGAGCCUGACCUGUCCAGCUGUGGGGAAUCAACCGUAGAUGCCGGUACAACCUGCAUGAAUGUCCCUUGCUGCCCACCAAAGUUAAAAGAUUCAAAGAUCAUAGACUUCGAACCACCUUUAGGUUGCAAGAUCCAUUAUCGGCCGGCAGCACAUUUAGUUGAUCGUGAUUACCUGUAUAAAUUUGAAUCGGCAAUGGAGAGAAUGAAAGCUCUCCCUGUGGAUGAUCCACGUAAUUUCAUGCAACAAGCCAAUAUUCAUUGUGCCUAUUGCAAUGGGGCUUAUAGUCAAGUGGGGUUCCCCGAUCAAAAACUUGAAGUUCACUACUCGUGGCUUUUUUUCCCAUUCCAUAGGAUGUAUCUGUAUUUCUUUGAGAGGAUAUUGGGCAAGUUGAUUGGUGAUCCAGAUUUCACAAUGCCAUUUUGGAACUGGGAUUCUCCUGUUGUUCCAAUAGGGUCGGAAGCGUGUAAAUUAUUGUACUAAAAAAUCACACAAAGUUCAAUUCCCAGGGAAGAGAGGUGGAUCACAUGGAUCUCUUAAAUACCAAGUCUUUCCUUAGACAGAAUAUCCCUUCUAUAGUAAUUUAAUAGCACAAUUAAAUACUACUAUUAUACCCUCAAAUAUUGAAAGAAAAAUAGGACAAGAAAGAACACAAGAGAUUUAACGAGGUUCGGUAAAUUAUACCUACGUCCUCGGGCACUAACACCAGAUGAUAACUUUACUAUCUCCAAAGUAUUACAAACAAAUAGAAUUCCUUAAGAAUUCUCAAAUGGGAGAAGAGAGAAAACUAAGAGAGAAAGAUUGGUUGGGAUGAAUUGAAAUGAGAAAUGAGAAGGCCUAUUUAUAGUUGAGGUUUAAGGAUCAAACAAUAAAUAGCCCAUUAUCUCAAGGACCAAAAAAAAAUUAUCCCAUGCCACUUUUUCAAAGUCAACUUUAGGGUGCUAAACUUGCACCACUUGGAUUGUUUUCCAUUAAAAUUGUCUGCCAUUAAUCAUAAUGUUAACAAUCUCCACCUUGAAGAUUUGAUUAGGAUAAUCACAUCUUCACACACUUCCUUCAACUCCCCAAAUUUGAUAAAGCUAUCUUUUGUAGUGCCUCCAAAUGCACUCUCGAGCGCAAUACACCUGAAGGUGCUCAAAUUCUCAGGAUGUUAAUCAAGUUCAAACAAUGAUUAAACUUGAUUGUUGUUACCACAUUGGUCAUCAUAUCUGCGGGAUUAUCUGCUGUUGGAAUCUUCUGAAGUAGAAUUUUUCCUUUUUCAAAGACUUCCCGCACAAAGUGAUAUCUUACGUCGAUAUGUUUGGUUCUUGAAUGAUAGACUUGAUUUUUCGCUAAAUGAAUAGCGCUCUGACUGUCACAAUAUAAACUUAUGUGACUUUGAACAACUCCUAAGUCUUUCAACAAUCCAUUAAGCCAAAUAGCCUCCUUAACAGCUUCUGUAACUGCCAUAUAUUCUGCCUCUGUAGUAGACACAGCUACUGUAGACUGUAAGGUAGAUUUCCAACUCACUGGGGCUUUCGCAAGAGUAAACAGAUACCCCGUAGUUGAACGACGUUUAUCUAAAUCACCAGCAAAGUCGGAAUCAACAUAUCCAACUACAAACUGACCAAGUGCUUCAUCCUGUUCAAAAAUUAAACCAACAUCUACGGUUUUUCGAAGAUACCGUAGAAUCCAUUUCACAGCUUGCCAAUGUCCUUUUCCAGGAUCAUGCAUAUACCUGCUCACAACUCCAACAGCUUGUGAAAUGUCAGGCCUCGUACACACCAUCGCAUACAUCAAACUCCCAACUGCAUUAGCAUAUGGGACUUUCACCAUAUAUUCUCUUUCAUCUUUAGUCUUCGGAGAUAAUUGAGCACUAAGUUUCAAAUGAGAAGCAAGUGGGGUACUUACAUGUUUUGUGUUUUCAUUUACACCAAAACAUUGUAAUACCUUUUUCAGAUAUUGCUUCUGAUUUAAACAGAACUUGCCUCUCGGUCUAUCUCUACUUAUCUCCAUGCCGAGAAUCUUCUUAGCCUCACCUAGAUCUUUCAUCUCGAACUCUUGAUUCAACUGAGCCUUCAGCUUAUCUAUCUCAUUUUGGCUCUUCGAAACGAUUAACAUAUCAUCAACAUACAAGAGUAGAUAAAUGAAAGAUCCGUCAUGCAGCUUCUGCAAAUAUACACAAUUGUCAUAUUUGCUUCUUGUGUACUUCUGCCUUCUCAUAAAGCUAUCAAAUCGCUUGUACCACUGCCUCGGGGAUUGCUUCAAUCCAUAUAGCGAUUUGUUAAGCUUACAAACCCAAUUUCUACCACCAGCAUCUGUGUAUCCUUCGGGCUGAGUCAUAUAGAUCUCCUCUUCUAACUCACCAUGCAAGAAAGCCGUCUUAACAUCAAGUUGAGCUAGCUCCAAAUUCAACUGUGCUACCAAGGCCAACAAAAUUCUAAUGGAGGAAUGCUUCACAACAGGGGAAAAUACAUCAUUGUAGUCAAUUCCCUCCUUCUGAGCGUAGCCUUUAGCUACCAAUCUUGCCUUGUAGCGAAUAUCCUUCUUGGUAGGAGAUCCAUCUUUCUUUGCGAAUACCACUUGCAUCCGAUUGCCCUUUUACCUUUCGGUAAUUGCGCCAACUCCCAAGUAUUGUUCUUCCGGAGAGACUGCAUUUCUUCAUCCAUGGCGCUUUUCCAUUUAUCACUUUCUAAGCUUUGCAUUGCUUCUUGAGAAGUGAUAGGAAUAUCAUCAACAACGGGAAGGGCGUAGGCCACUAUAUCAGUAAAUCGAGCAGUUUUACGAAUUUCUCUCCGUGGCCUUGCAACUGCAACUGGUUCUGGUGUACUUAGUGGUUCUUGGGUCAGAACCUCUUCAACCUCUAAUUCCUCCAUUGUGGCUGGAGAAUUAGACUUAUUAACUGGGCAAAUCCCCAUCUGCUCAAACUCCACCUGUUUUGGAGUACACUCCACCUGCUGUGGAGUAUUGCUCGUCUGAAUAUCUUUAUCUGCUACCUUUUUCAAUGUGGCAGAUUCAUCAAAGGUAACAUCUCUGCUACAGAUCAUUUUCUUUAUGCUUAAGCACCAAAGACGAAAUCCCUUCACUCCAGAAGUGAUUCCCAUAAAGAGAGCUUUCUUUGCCCUUGGAUCUAACUUUGACUUCUUCACAUGGUAAUAUGCAGUGGUUCCAAACACAUGUAAGGAAUCAUAAUCUGUAGCCGGUUUUCCAGACCAUACCUCCAUAGGAGUUUUUCUUUCUAAUGCAGAUGAUGGCAAAUGAUUAACAAGAUGGCCAGCGUAUGUCACAGCCUCAGCCCAAAAUUGCUUGCCCAACCCAGCAUUGGACAACAUACAUCGAACUUUCUCCAGCAAUGUUCGAUUCAUACGCUCUGCCAAUCCAUUCUGCUGUGGUGUAUCCCUAACUGUGAAGUGUCAAACAAUACCAUACUCUUGGCACACAUCGAAGAACGGAUCACUUUUAUAUUCCCCUCCAUUGUCCGUCCUAAGCCGCUUGAUUUUCUUGCCAGUCUGGUUUUCGAUCAUAGUUUUCCAUUUAAGAAAAACUCUAAGCACUUCAUCCUUAGUUCUCAUGGUAUACACCCAAACUCUUCUGGAAAAGUCAUCAACAAAAGUAACAAAGUAGUGUUUUCCUCCCAAUGAAGGUGUCUUGGAAGGCCUCCACACAUCUGAGUGAACAUAUUCCAAAAUAUCUUUUGUAUUAUGGAUAGCAGUACCGAAUUUCACUCUCUUUUUCUUUCCCAGAACACAAUGCUCGCAAAAUUUUAAUUUACAAGCCUUUGCACCUUUCAACAAUCCUUGCUUUGCCAGAAUUUGCAAGGAUUUUUCGCUGGCAUGUCCCAACUUCAUAUGCCACAACUGUAUUGAGUCCAAUUCUUUGUUGCCGAAAGCUACAGCGACUGCUCCAAUAACUGUACUACCUUGGUAGUAAUACAAGUUAUUUUUCCUGAUGCCCUUCAAUAUCACAAGUGCGCCAGAUGUCACUUUCAAAACCUCAUCUCUCAUAGUAACAACUGAACCAUUGGAUUCCAAGGCUCCCAAUGAGAUGAGAUUUUUCUUCAAACUAGGCACAUACCGAACAUCAGUCAGAACUCUGGUUGAUCCAUCUUUAUUCUUUAAUUGGAUUGAACCUAUCCCAACAGUUUUACAGGCAUUGUCAUUGCCCAUAUAAAUAACUCCUCCAUUUAGUUCUACUAAAUCAGAGAACCACUCCCGGUUAGGGGACAUAUGAUAGGUACAACCCGAAUCCAAUAUCCACUCAUCUGAAUGGAACGACGAUGAUGAUGCAACCAGUGAUAGUUCAGAGUCACUGGUAUCAUGCUUUGCAACACAAGCAUCUACAGCAGCUUUUCCCUUAUUCUUCAGCUUUGGACAAUUUUUCUUCCAGUGGCCUUUCUCAUGACAAAAAGCACAUUCAUCUUUCCCGAGUCUGGACUUUGACUUUGAUCUCCCCUUUUGAGUUUUCUUCCGAGUGUAUGAAUGACCUCAGACUACUAAAGCUUCUGUAUCUCUGAUUGAGUUUUUCUGUUUGUCAUUCUUUCUCUGUUCAUAACUGUAUAAGGCCGCACAGACUUCGCUCAGAGAUAUAUCACUCCUGCCAUGAAGUAGAGUAGUUUCUAGGAACUCAAACUCCUCAGGAAGUGACCCCAACAGCAUCAAAGCCAAAUCUUCAUCUUUGAAUGUCUCAUCCAUAUUCAGCAAAUCAGUGACUAACUGAUUAAAUUUGGUGAUGUGAUCAUUCAUUGUGGUACUUGGGACGUAUGUGAAGCGAAACAGUCUUUUCUUCAAGUGGACCUUAUUUUGACUGUUUUUCUUCAAAAAAUUUUCUUCAAGUGCCACCCACAACUUAUUUGCAGAAGUCUCCUUUGAAAAAGCAUACAUCUGCUCUCGAGAAAGGCAUGAUCGAAUUGUGCCAUAUGCCAACCGAUUGAUCGCCUUCCAAUCUUUCCCCUGUACAUCAUCUGGUUUCUCUUCAUCAAUGGCAAUGUCUAGACCCUGCUGAAAAAGGGCAUCUAGAACCUCACUUUGCCAUAUACCAAAAUGGCCCGUGCCAUCAAAGAUCUCCACGGCCAGUCUUGCAUUUGCAAUUGUCGGUCUUGUCCACAUGGACGAUGUUGAAGCUCCUACACCGACCGUUUUCUCCAUAAUCUUUCAAUAUACCUAAGGAAAUCUUUUCUGAUGUGGAAGAUCAGUUCAAACUGCAACCACAGAGCAUACUACGAUUAACCUUCGGCUCUUGAUACCACUUGUUGUUCCAAUAGGGUCGGAAGCGUGUAAAUUAUUGUACUAAAAAAUCACACAAAGUUCAAUUCCCAGGGAAGAGAGGUGGAUCACAUGGAUCUCUUAAAUACCAAGUUUUUCCUUAGACAGAAUAUCCCUUCUAUAGUAAUUUAAUAGCACAAUUAAAUACUACUAUUAUACCCUCAAAUAUUGAAAGAAAAAUAGGACAAGAAAGAACACAAGAGAUUUAACGAGGUUCGGUAAAUUAUACCUACGUCCUCGGGCACUAACACCAGAUGAUAACUUUACUAUCUCCAAAGUAUUACAAACAAAUAGAAUUCCUUAAGAAUUCUCAAAUGGGAGAAGAGAGAAAACUAAGAGAGAAAGAUUGGUUGGGAUGAAUUGAAAUGAGAAAUGAGAAGGCCUAUUUAUAGUUGAGGUUUAAGGAUCAAACAAUAAAUAGCCCAUUAUCUCAAGGACCAAAAAAAAAUUAUCCCAUGCCACUUUUUCAAAGUCAACUUUAGGGUGCUAAACUUGCACCACUUGGAUUGUUUUCCAUUAAAAUUGUCUGCCAUUAAUCAUAAUGUUAACAUCUCCCUGUGGGAUGACUAUGCCUCAGAUAUAUUUAGACCCUUACUCUCCAUUGUACGAUGAAAACCGCAAUUUGGAGCAUCAGCCGGACGUUUUGGUUAAUCUUAAUGACGGUAAAUCUUUUGUAAAACCAAAAAAAAAGGAUGAUUUUUAUGAAUUAGCAAAGAGGGAACAAAUAAAUAGUAAUCUCUAUGUGAUGUAUCAGCAAAUGGUACGGUCCGCCAAGACCGCUUCUUGUUUCCAUGGAGCGGCGUACCUUGGCGGUUGUGUAUCCGAAACCGAUAUCGGUUGUACUCCCGAACCGAGAGGUGGUACCAUUGAGAACGGUGCUCAUAUCGCCGUUCACAAGUUCGUUGGUGCCAAGAAUCCACCUUAUAACGAAGACAUGGGGAAUUUCUAUUCUGCUGGUAGAGACCCUUUGUUCUACGCUCAUCAUGGCAAUGUUGAUCGAAUGUGGAACAUUUGGAAGACAUUGCCAGGGAAGAAGCGACAUGAUUUCAACGAAAAUGUUUGGCUCAAUUCUUCGUUUCUUUUCUACGAUGAGAAUACAAAUAUGGUUCGUGUUAAAGUUCGCGAUUGCCUUGACUCUAAAACUUUGGGGUACGAUUACCAAAGUGUUGAUAUUCCAUGGCUUAGAAGCAAGCCAACACCUCGAAGGAGUUGUUCUGGUGUGGGGCGGGGUCAGGAUGUAGCAGCCAGACGAAAGAGUAAAAACCGCAGGGGUUUUCCUAUAGUUUUAGACAAGGUGGCCGUGCGCAUUGAGAUUCCAAGGCCAAAGAAAUCAAAGAAAAAAGAUGAUGAAGAAGUAUUGGUUCUUCAAAACAUACAGCUAGACAGAAAUGACUCAGUGCAAUUCGAUGUCUCCAUUAAUGACGACGAAGACGACGACAACCCUUGCAAACCAGAAGAUGCGGAGUUCGUGGGGAGCUUUUCGAAUUUACCGCACGGAGAUAAUUGCCACUCCGAGACGAUGCUUAGUACAAAUCUGUAUUUGCCAUUAUCAGAAGCGCUGAAGGAUUUGAAGAUUAAUCCAUUUGAAGAUAGCAUUGUGGUGACUUUGGUGCCUAAAGAAGGGGAAGUUUCGAUUGGUAACAUUAAGAUCGACUACGUUUGUUGAUUUGGGGGUGAAUAUUUUGCUUCAUCCUUUGUGUUCUCGCUAGAUCGGAUUGAUGGGGUUCAUUAAUUUGUUUCUUGCAUGUGUCUCUCUUUUUUUUAAUAAAAAUAUCAAGCUAAAUGAACAAAAGCAGCGGCAGCUUUAUCUUGCUCAAGAAGAUAAUCAACUCCUAAACGCGCCUGAUAUUUUCUGCCUAUCAUCAAUUCAAUCACGAGAUAUUUUAGUUAACAGAGUAACAACUUGAUUUCUUUAACUAUCCAAUACUUCUUGCACUGUAAUAUCUAUUUAAUUCGUCCAACCAAAACUAAAUUUGAUACCUCCAAAUAGCCAACUUGAAUAGCAUUGAAUGCUUCCAAGUAAUCUGUUUAAAUUAAGGCUUUGACAUAUCUUACAAGACUAACUCGUCUGAGAUACUCUAGAAUUCAAUAUUAAAGAUUGAACAAACAUCUAAAUUAUGAUUGAACCCGACAAUCCAAUCUUGCCAAAUUUUAUUAUUAAAUUUUACCAUUUACUUUUUGUAUUAUUUAUAAAUUUUAAGUAUAAUGGUUUAUUUGAUCUUUCAGCUUUAUAAAAAAAUAUCAUUUUAGUUCUUCAUUUAAUUUUGUCUCUUUUUAACCCUUAAAUUUAUGUUGUUUAUCAAAUUGUCCCAAAAUAAAUGAAAAAAUUAAUAUCUAUUAACUUUGUUGACACAUCCACGUGUAUGCCACAUCAACAUUUACUUAAUUCUUUUUACAAAAUUAAAAAGCAUUAAAAUUAUAAAAAAAUAUUAUAAAAUUAUAAGUUUUAUUUAAUAAUAAAAUUAUAAUAAAAUUCUAUAAAUUUUAGAAUUUUUAAAAAUUUUAAUCAAUUAUUGAUGUGACAUAUAUGUGGAAUGUCACAUAAACAAAAUUAUUAAGCGUUAAUUUUUCUAUUCAUUAUAAAGUGUUUUGACAAAAAAAACUAGUUUAAUAGUUAAAAGUGGCGAAGAUUAUAUGAAGGGUUAAAAUGACUUUUUUGUUUUCUAAAGUUGGAGGACUAAAUAAAUCAUUAUGCUUAAAUUUUAUCAUAUUUAUAAAUAAAAAUUUUAAUUUUACUAAAAUAUUUUAUUAAAUAUAUUUACUUUAUAAAAAAAUUGUCAUACAUUUAUAAGAAUUUCGAGUCAAUUAAAAUACUUUAAUUAAAUUAUUAUGUUUUCAUUAACCCAAAAAAGUUAUAUUACUUAUUUUUAAAUGAAUUUUUUUAAUUAUUUAUAUGAUAGGUAGCUUUAUAUUUUACAUGCAAUAUUUUAUAAAGAAUACAUUUAUAUAAUCUAAUCUAAUAUAUAUUAUAAUUAUAUGAAGGCUUGAUUCGCAAAUUGGUGCCUAAGUUAUGUUAUUUUUUUCAUUUUGGUAUCUAAACUCUUUUUUUUUUUUUGUUAUCAGUUAUCCUAAAGCUAUUUUUUUCCCCAAAUUGGUAUAUCUGCUAGUUAACCCAUUAAGUCUAUUUAAAAAAAAGUUCAACCCACAAAUUAGUAUAUUCUUUUUCCCAAAUUGGUACCUAAAUUUUUUUUUAUCAUAAGUGAUACCUAAACUAUUCUUCCAUCACCAUUUUACACCAAAAUAUUAUAUUCGUUAAAAAAAUUACAACCAAUUAUAGAUUGUCACUUCAUAUAAACUUUUAAUUGUUUUAACUUUUUCUAUUUAUUUUACAUUAUUUCUCUCUUUAUAUAUUUUAUUUAUUUAUUUUUCUUCCUUUAUAAUGCCUAGUAAUACCAACAAUACUUAAAAUUGAUUCGCUCAAGGUUGAGAUGUCGGUGAUUAAUUCUGUUUUGAAAUUUCACCAUGUUGAUUAAACCUUUAUAUGAAUUAUAUUUAAUUUGAGUUGGAAUCACAAUAAAUAAUUACAUAUAUUUAUGCAAGAAAUUAAGAAUUUUAUAUAGUUCAUGAAUAAUAUAUAAUUUUCUUAAUCCAACAUUCACCCUUGGGCAUUUCCAGCAUACUUCAACAUCUACACCAUAUCAUCAGUAGGCAGCCCAAUCACUAACUUCUGUCGACGAACAGCCUUACACUCCGUUGCAAACAAUCCCAUCCACUCCAAGGGGCCAUAAAUCAACCCCAACAAUCGCCCCACACCAUCCCCCAAGCCUUUCUUCACUCUGAAUACAAGACAUAAAAUAAAAAUGAAGAGACGACUCCUCCAUCUGCAAGGAAAGGAUGUUGCCCCCUUUCAACCGACCAUUCUCAAACCAUGGUUCAUGCCACCAACCAAGCUCACUUACCACCAAUAAUGGUUCUAAUCCAACAAAUAGAUCGCAUUUUGCAAAGGAAAAUGAUCUCUUCAGCAAUCCACUCUUUUCCAUUAAGUAUUAAUUCAUUCCUAGCUAGCCACAAUGACCAUAACAUAGCGCCACAAGCAAGAAGCCACUUCCUCUUAACAUUCGAUCUUCCAAACAUGCAGCAACGUACACAAAAUCACUGACAUUCCAAGGAAUCACCCACAUAACACCCCACCAUUGAAAAAACAGUCCCUAAGCUUUCCAAGAGGAAGAACGAAAGAAAAAAUUUAUCACAAUUCUCUUCAGCUUCAUUGCACCAAGAACAAUUAACACGACCAUUAACUGUUGGAAUACCUCGAUCCCUUAAAAAUGCAUUUUGAAGGUAUGCCAUUUUGGAAUAACAGCCAUAGGAAGCGUUGCACCUUUGUUGGAACGCAUAGCUUCCAAAUGAAAGAAAACCACACCUUUUGAUGCGCCAAAGAACCUCACAAUCAAGAGAAAACACAACUUUCUUCACAGUACAUUUCCCUUUGCUGUCCACCUCCCACAUUAACUGAUCUGCCUUGUUCUCAUUUAAAGAGACCCCUUUGAAAAUCUGCCACAACUCCAUUGCAGACACCCUCUCCUGUUCAAACAAAUCUCUUUUGAAAAAUCUUUCACCCUUGUGAAGAUCAUCCCAAGCCUCGUCCACCGUGAUAUUUUUCUUCAAAGCCAAGAAGAAAGUCUGGGGAAUCUGUCUUUCAAAGCACACAGUCCAAUCCAAUGAUCCAUCCAAAAUGAAACUGAUCUCCCACUGCCGACGCACCAUAUAAAGCUUCCUUCACCUAACAUUUUGUCCAUCCCUUCGUGUCUUCUAACUUCCACAACUCCUUUCCAAACCUUCGACAUUGUUGAGAAUUCACCACAUUGGGCCUCCAACGAUACUUGCCAAUACCAUAUUUUUCGUCCCUAUUAUUGAUGUGGUGAUUGUCAAUUUAAUUCUUACACAUUAAAAGUACAUAAAAAUAUUUUUUAAAAAUUAAAAAUUAAAAUUUUUUCUUAUUUUCAAUAAAAAAUCGUAAAAGGUUUACUAAAAAUUAUGAAAUGCAUUAUUUAAAAUUAAAAAUUAAAUUAAAAAUUCAAAAAAAAUAUAAAUUAUUUCAAAAAUUCAAAAAAAAAAGUAAUAAGAACUAGACUUAUCCAUAAAUUGGUUUCGGCAAAGGUUUUAUGUCUCGAGCCGAGACCAAACCAAAAUAGAAUUUAAGUAAUCAAAAUAUUUUUAAAUUUGAAUUUGAUUAUAAAAAUUAAUAUAAAAUAUAUGUUUAAUAUUUUAUUAUUUUAAACAAUAAAACAAGUUUUUUAGACGAGCUAAACCAGAAAAAAAGCUUAACUGCAACUUGACCUGACCAGGCCUAAUAAGAAGCUUCAAUCUUCUAUGGAUGACGACUCAACGGUUAGUAUUAUUGUGAAGGAUAUUAAGGCAAAAAGCAAUAGGUCCGAGAACUAACUUUUCGAUUUGUACCGUGUCGAUUUAACAACUCCGCACAUGUACGCUCGUCAGUAUAGGGUAGUCAUAUUCUUGUUCCAUGCACUAGAUGGAGGAAACCUCGGUGGGUGUCGAAAACGCUGCAGUAAUGGAUCGACGAUGGGUGGAUCCGCUCAAUUAGUGAUACUUGGUCUUGGUAGCGGAGAUACUAUCGACUCUUGAACUCCGAUUCUCUCUUUCUUGAUCGAUUAAAGUGAUUAUUUUCUGAAGAAUUGAAUAGAGACGUUUUCAGUUUGCUUGCUGGCAAUGGAAUUUAGUUGUGGAUUCAUCUGGUUUUAAUUUUGUUUCAAUCUUAAUAAAUACUUUUAAUUUUUUGUUUUGUUUUAAUGAAUUCUAUCAGGUUAUAUUACUAUUUUCAGUGGACGUAUCAAUAGUUGUAUAUUUAUUUAAUUUAUUUUUACUAGAAAUAAAAUUUCCAGCUUACUUUAAAAAAAAAAAAAAACCUUCAAACGUAGUGAGUUGGGUCCUGUUUAAUCUAUCUCCUCCUAAAAAUAAAAAUAAAAAAUUGCUCAAACUUGAGCCUGAAUGAGUGCUCAUCUCCAAGCGCCUCUUGUACGCUUCUUUGCUCUCUCCUUUGGAGAGUUUUUUCAUUAGGGCAUAGCCGUGCGCCUCUCGGCCCUAUUCUCGUGCUCUGCAAUAUCCUGCACAGUGGUCUUCACCACCUUGAUGUAAUAUGGUCUUUGACCUAUUUCUCUAAUUAUAUGGUUGAUGAUUUCCUGGAUUAAAAUAAAAAAGCCGAAAAAGUUCUAACAUAUUUAAGGCAUGGAAAAGGUAAGAAUUAAGGGCGUUGAUAGGAGACAAGAAGCAAGACAAAGGGGAAGGAGACGGAAACAGAUAAAUCAAGGUGGACUGAAAGUGGCAGGUAGCGAGCAGGUGGUACAAUAUGUUGAAAGUGUCGGUAGGCAGUAUACAUGUGGUAGUGGGGAAGCUAAUAUUGGUAAGGUGGUAUAAGGGAUUGGAUAUUUAUAAUAUCAAUUUAUAUUUUAUUAUUUAGGGUAAACUACACCAAAGAUCAUUAAAUUAUUAAUAUGUUUACAUUUUGGUCAUUUAACUUCAAAAAGUUACAAAAUAAAUCAUUAAAUCUUGAUUGAUCCUCCAUAUUCCAAGGGUUUAUUUGAUUCACUCCAAUCCAAUCUAAUUUUCAAAAGCUAAGAUUUAGUUUCCAUAGAUGGACCAAAAAAAUCUUCAAUUAAAUAGCACAUAACCAGGUCCAACUAUUUUCUUCGCUAAAUUACCAAAGCAAAUAAGGUAAUUAAGUAUUUAACCACUUCAAUGGCAAUCUGUAGUUGGCACUAUCGAGUGCCACUCAGCAAUUCUCAACACAUUUUGCCUCAACAAACAUAAUCAAAUAUAAUUUAGUAAUUAUUAUAAAUAACUACUAAUAACUCUUGGGUCUAGGUUUUAGGAUUUAGGGUCUUUUAAGUUUAGAGUUUAGGUUAUUAGUAUUUAUUUAUAAUUAAUUAUUAUUUAAUUAUGGUUUAAACAAAGCUACUCGGAUUUAUUUAUAUGUUUGUCACUAUUUUUUUAGGCAUAAUGAUUUUUUUGACCCUCCAACUUUAUAAAAAAAUUAUUUUAACCCUUCAUUUAAUUUUCUACCUCUUUUAGCCCUUAAACUUGCAUUGUUUGUCAAACCACCCUAAAUUGGAUGAAAAAGUUAACUUCUUUCAAUCCACAUAAAUGUCACGUUAGAAAUUAAUUAAUUUUUUAAAUAUAAAAAAGUAAAAAAAGUAAAAAAUUAUUAAAAAUACAAGAAAUAUUUUUUUAAUAUUUUAAUUUUUUAAAAAUCAAUUAAUUGCUUAUGUGAGAUACACGUGGACUUUCACAUGGAUGCCAUGUUAGCAAAGUUAACCGACAUUACUUUUUCCAUCUAUUUUGAGGUAAUUUGACAAAUAAUGCAAGUUCAAUGGCUAAAAGAGAUGAAAAAUUAAAUUGAGGAAUAAAAUGACUUUUUUUUUAUAAAGUUGAGGCCAAAUAAAUCAUUAUGCCUUUGUUUCAUUCAAUAACGAGGUUUGAUGUUGUAUUAUUAUUCACUCAAUAUUCUUGAUGAUCAGUCAUAUUUAAUUAUAAGAAACACUUAAUAUUAAUUAUAUGAAAAAUGUAUAUUAUUUUUAAAUUAAAAAUAAACACACGUGUAAAAUAUGUAAUUAGUAAAACAUGAAGUCAAUUUGCAUGUACAUCAAACUAUGCAUCAAUUCUCAAGUUCAGGUACAAUUUCUCCUUUGGUAGAGUCAAUAAUAUCCUUUCACACUAUCUUAUUUUGAUGCCACUAAACUUAAAUCUAACUUAAAAUAAUGUUAAAAAUUUCAUUUAUAGAAAACCAACAUAAGUGAGAAUUGAUUGAUUUGAUAAAAAAUAAAUAUAAUAUUAAAUUUAAAUAAAUAUUAAAAAUAAUUAAAAAAUAAUAAAAUUAUUCAUUUAAUUCGAUUGUGUAAUCUUUAACUUGUAACACAUACAAAUGUGCAUGAUAAAGUAUAUAGGGAUGGUAAUUAAGUUAGGCGGGGUGGAUAUUGUCAAUUCCAUCACCGCUCUACAGUUGGUAUGCUUAGUCCUAAUAUCUGCCAUGCUCCAUCAUGGGUGUAUGAUCUUGAACACUACCAUUACUAGCUCCAUAGAUAUUGGAUAUAUCUAUCUUCUCCCCGCUUCACUUAAUUUAAUUUUUUUAUUUAAAUAAUUUUAAUCUUUUAAAUAUAAUUUUUUGAAAAAAUAUAAUAUUUUAUUUUGUAAUAUUUUAAUUAUUGAAAUAAUUAAUAUUUUUAAUUAUAUUAAAUGAUUUGGAUGAUAUUAUUUUACAUCAAUUAUAUCAAAUAAAAAUAUAUUUUUAAUAAAUAAAAAGAAACACAAAAAAAUCAUUGGGGGCUAAAGUAUAAUUUUAUCUUUGUAUAUGCCUGUUAAUUUAGAAUUUUGAAGGGAUUAAAUUGGAAAAAUUUCAUCUUAGAGUGCCAAAGUGUAUUUUUACAAUUAAACUAACUUAUGAUUUUAAAAACUUCAAGGGACUAAAAUAAUAAUUAGCUUAGGGGUGAAGCCAGGAAAUUUCAUUUUUUGGGGAGGGGGUGGAAUUAAAUUGUUUAUUUUAACGAUAGUGAAAAUACAAUUUCACCAAUUUAAUAGCAUAUAUGUUUAUUGUAAUACCCAAUUUUAGCUCGGACUCACAAAAAAAUAAUAAACCCAAAAUAAUAAAACAAAGUCUAAGUCCAGUACAAAAUUAUAUCAUUUGGCCCGAUCGGAAUGGCCCAUUACUUGAAAAUGUUAAAGGUCCAUCUACAAGCUUAUGGAAACAUAAUCUUUAAGGAUAUGCAAUCUUAGAUAUGAUAUAUGCAAUCUUAGAUAUGAUAUGCAAUCUUAGAAGAUAUGAUUUUGUAAUCUUAGAGAUUUAAUUUGUAGAUACCAUUUAAUCUUAGCCGUUGAUGUAAUUGAUCUGUACCGUUGGAUUUGGGGAGGCUCAACUAUAAAUAGAGGCCUCUCCCUUCAUUGUAAAAGGGGGGAGUGGGAGUAAUAAUAAUUCUUAAAAGUAUUCACUUAAAUUUCUCUUUCUCUUGCGUUCUUAUUUUCUGUGGCUUGUUCUUAUUUUGUUGAUUUGUGUAUAAUUUAUCUAUUGAUUUGUAUAUUGUUCAUUUCAAAUCUUUUUUUUCCCUUUUUAUUCAUUUUCAAAUUCAUUAUUUUCAAAUUUGUUUACAUUUUAUUUUGCCUUAUAUUUUUUAUUUUAUACUCUUUGUUUUAAAUUCAUUGGUCUUUUAUUAUUGAUGCUAUUUAAUCCUCUAUUUAUUAUUAUUUUUUAUUAAAUUAAUUAUUUUAAUAUUAUUAAUACUAUUAUGUGGCAUCAUUAAUCUUGUAUCAUUAUUAUUUACUUUUUUAUGCCUUUAAAUUUCAAAAUUUGUUAUAUAUAUGCCUGUAUACAUACAUACGUUUUAUAAUAUAUACAUAUACGUACACAUUUUUUAAUUUUUUAUAAAUAUAUAUACACAUACUUUUAUAUAUUUUCUAUGUUUCAUAAUUUUAUAUACAUACUUAUAUUUUUUUACAUAUUAAAAUAUGUAUAUUUAUAUAUAUUUAUUUUUUUAUAAUUCACAACCAUAUAUAUUUUUCUUAAAUGUACAUAUAUAUAUAUAUAUUUAUAUUUUAUAAUUUUUAUCUAUUUUCUUUAUUAUUAUUAUUGCUUUACUUGAUGUUUAUUUAUUUCUUUAUUCACAUGACCAUUAUUAUAUUCUUUAAAUGUUUCGGUUUUAUUUGUUUAUUUACUUGAUAUUGUGUAUACAUGAUUGAUUUGUUUUUUUAUUUAUCUUUUCAUUAUUAUUAUUAUUAUUAUUAUUGUUCUUGAUCAUGCUAUUUAUAUUUAUAUUAUUACAAUUGUUAGUACUCCAUUAUAUAAUUGUACCCAAAUUUGUAUAAAGAGAAAAUUUUGAAAAAUAAAGGCAAUACUCGAUAUUUGGAAUCUUCGAGAAGAUUGAGCCCUAACGUAUUGGGUUCCAAAUCUUUCGUUGAAUCUGAAUAAUCGAGAAUGCUCUUUAAUCAAAACAUAAAUAAAAAGCUCAUUAUCGAGAAUUCAAUACGUUGUGUCCUAACGCAUUGGAUAUGACAUGUUGUUUUCUCGAGAUGAGGAUUUUUUUUUCUAAAAAUAAUAAAGGUAAUAUUCAAUGUUUAGAAUUUUGAGAAAUUGUGCCCUAACGUAUUGGGCUGCGAUUUCUUCAUCUGACUUAAACAAUUGAAUAUCCUUUUAAAUUUUAUUGCACGAGUUUUUUUUGGACAAGCUUGUUUUUGAGGAAGUGAAAUAUCAUGCCCUAACUCAUUGGGUGUGACAUUUUCUCUUUUCGAAAUGAGAGGGUUUUAUCGAGUAACUUGUUUUAUAUAAGUUAAAAAAAAAACAAAAGAUCGUAUUUUAAAUCUCUUCAAAGUUUUCAAUUUUCGACAUUAAGACAUUAAUUAAUUAACUAGGUACCAAUUUUUGGGCGUUACGAGGGUGCUAAUCCUUCCUCGUACGUAACCGACUCCCGAACCCGUUUUUCUGAAUUUCGUAGACCAAAAUCGUUGUUUUAAUAAAGUCAAAUUGCUUAUUAAAAAUAACCACUUUUUGAGGUGACCCGAUCACACUUAAAUAAAAAGGAUUAGUGGCGACUCCCAUUUUCUUUUUUUUUCUUUUCAAAAUCCAAGCCAACCCCAUUUUUCAAAAUAAAAAAUGGUUUCGACAUUUAUAAUUUUUAAAGGAUUAAAUCAAAAUUUUAUCAUUUUUGGUUGACCAAAGUACAAUUUUACCAUUAGUAAUUUAAAAUUUUAUAAAUUGUAAAGAGCUUAAAUAGAAAAUUGUCCACUUUGGGGGGCUAUUGGGGGUGUCAUCCCUAUAUAAACAUAGGGAUGAAGUCAGAAGUUUAUUUUUGGGUCAAAAUUCAAUUAUAAAAUUUUAAAAGGAUGAAAGUAUAAUUUUAUUUUUGUAUAUACUUAUUAAUUUAGAAUUUCAAAAGGACUAAGGUGGGACAUUUUUAUCUCUAGAGGGUCAAAAUGUAUUUUAUCAUUAACUUAUAAUUUUAAAAGAGCUUCAAGAAAAUCUAAAAUAAUAAUAAUUUUCCGUGCGGCCCGUCCCUGUAUAGACAGGGUGUAUAUAUAUACCGACGAUUUCAAACGUUUUUCACGUUUUGUCACCUUUCCAAGAAUGAUCCACGUGAAAAUUUGUUGCAUGAAAUCAUGUGAAUCCGUCUGCAACCAUAAAAUUUUACGAUUAUUUGCACUAAAAAAACCAAAUAAAAAUUGUGGAUAAAACACCACGUUAUCCAGAAUACUGAUUUGUUCAACGUUUUCUUUUUCCUUCCUUUUGCACAUGAAUAAUGACAAAGGAUCCAACCCCAUCGAUUUUCGCUACAAAUUCCAUGCUUUCUUAGUUUAAUCAUCAUCACACAAUCAAGUCAAGCUAUUUAGCUAUGGCUUCCACUGCCAAUUUCCCAUCAACUUUCAUCACUCUUCCCAAUUUCUCCAAAACAUGUCGAGGUUCCAUAUUUAGGAAGAAAAAGCUUUUCAACUUUGUUUCCAAGAAAGUAGUGUCGUGCAAAGCCAACAAUGCAGACUCCUCUCUCAAUAGGUUCGAUAGGAGGGAUAUCCUUCUAGGCCUUGGAGGAAGUUUUUAUGGUGCAACCAACCUUCUUGGUGGUGACCCAUUUGCAUUGGCAGCCCCAAUAGCCGCCCCUGACCUGUCUCAAUGUGCGGAAGCAACGGUUCAAAAGACGGGUCUUCCCACCAUGGGUGUCGCCUGCUGCCCACCAGUAUCAACAACUAUCAUAGAUUUCAAACCACCUUCCGUUCGUAAAAUACGGUAUAGGCCUGCAGCACAUUUAGUUUUUUCGAAUCGAGUUGAGUGAGAUGGAAUUCGAAUCGAAUCGAAUCGAAUCGAAUAUAUUUGUUCGAGUUAAAUUUUAAAAAAUAAUUUUGGGUCCUUGUAACCACUGUCACCCAUCCUAAUAAAAUUUGUCCACCUUAAUCAAAUUUUUUAUUAACUUUCAUCACCUCAUAAUUUAUUUAUUAAUUUUUUAUAUAUUAGUUAGCUUCUCUGCUUGCUUAGUUGUUUCAAUUAUCUUCAAAUUCUUGUCACGAUGUAUUUUGGAAUUAAAAAAAUAUAUUGAAUGUAAAAAUAUAAUUUUUUUUAAUAAAAGUUAUUUUAAAAAUAAAAUUUGAAAUUGAUACCAAUAUAAAAUUUUAAUACGAAUAUUUUAUGGCAUAAUUAAUAAUUCAAUUUUAAUAUAAAUAUUCAAUAUGACUAAACAAUUCAAUAAUAUAAAUAAUAUAAAAUGUGAAAUUUAAUUAUUAAUAUAAAUAGUAGAUAUAAAUAAAAAUUAUUACUAUUUAUGUUUAGUGAUUUUUUUUUGGAUAAUUUGAUUUUUUUAUUUGAGAGUAAAGGGUGAGAAGUAAAAGUGUAGGGGAAAAUAAAAGUUUGGGGAAUAAAAGUUUGAGGGAAAGUAAAUAGGGGGAGUAAAAUUUAGGAGGGAAAUAUUAAAAAAAAUUGGAGAGGGAGGGUUUGGGGUAGAUGGGAGGUGGGAUGGGAAGGGAAUAAAGUUUUAGGGAACCCGUGCGAGGUUGAGGUAACAAUUUUGGGGAAAAUACAAGGUUUGAGGGUUUUGGGGAGUACAAUUUGAGACCAUUAAUGGGCGCGUAAACCUUUUGGUGGGACACGGCUUUUGGGUCGCUUGCGAGGGUUGGGCGGGCGGCGCGUCCAGUUUUGGGGGGCACGUGGGAAGGCGUCACAGUUUUGCGGCCACGUCCCCACACGUUUGGGCGUUUGGGGUACACUGUACCCUUUCUCAUUUGAUCUUCGCCUUUUUGCGUUAUUCGAAUUCCACCCACUCAACUCGUUCGACACUCGAAUUUGCACACACCCCUUCGGUUGACUUUGAAUACUCGAUUAACUCGCCUACUCGAUUCGUUUAACUCGCAAUUCGACUUCUUUUGCUUUUUUCGAGUCGAAUCGAGUUUGUCUCACCCUACCUGGGACAAAGCUUCUAGAAAAAGGAUUAAAAUGUGAAGUACAGAUGAGGAGUGCAUGCUCGCUUAAAAUAAGAAGGGUGAAUUAAUUGUCCAAGUUGAUAUGACGCCGAACCGUUUGUUUACUCAUUGACAUUGAAUCUGGAGAGUGAAAUGUAUGAAGAACGCAAUUAAAAAAGGUAUCAUGGUUAAUGGCAUUUAAGGUUCGGGAAUCUUGGAUUUUCUGGUCCGAAGCUAUUGUUAAAAGAAAAUAUGGUUAACGGGCUGCAGAACUUAAUCCUCCUGAUCAACUGUGUGAAGCCUGCAUUAAAGGAAAACAACACAGACAGAGUUUUGAAGUCGAAAAAAUUCGACGAGCUAGGAGACUAUUGGAGAUCGUGCACUCUGACAUAGCAGGCCCUUUUAAUAUACCAUCACUUGGUGGAAACAGGUACUAUGUUACUUUUAUUGAUGAUUUUAGCGGAAAAAGUUGGAUAUAUCUUCUUAAAACAAAAUCAAAAGCAUUUGACAAGUUUAUCAAGUUCAAAGCCCUGGUAGAAAAACAAAGUGGACAUUUCAUUAAGAUACUCAGAACUGAUAGAGGUGAUUAGUAUACUUCAAAGCUAAUUGAAAGCUUCUGCAAGGAGCACGAAAUUAUUCACCAGUUGACAACUACGUACACGCCACAACAAAAUGGAGUCACUGAAAGAAAGAACUGCAUUAUUCUUGAUAUGGCAAGAAGCAUGGUUAAAUGUAAGCAUUUACCAAGAACUUUCUAGGCUGAUGCUGUUCAAUGUGCUGUUUAUUUGUUGAAACAGCGUCCAACAAAAAGUGCGAAAUACAAGACGCCAAACGAAGCUUGGAGCAAUCAGAAGCCAAGAAUCGAACAUUUUAAGAUUUUUGGAUGCAUCGUAUAUGCUUAUGUUACUGACCAGAUGAGAAAGAAGGUUGACACUAAAUGAGUAAAAUGUAUUUUCAUUGGUUAUGAAAAGAGAAGCGAGACAAAUAGGUUAUACAACACUCUCACUAAGAAAGUUAUUAUUUCAAGAGAUGUUGAAUUCGAUGAAGCUGAUUACUAGAGAUGGAGCGAAAAAGAGAGGAAAAUUGAAAGAUUAAUUUUCAGUGAUCACAAAGACGGCGACUUUAUUAAUCAAGAACAAGGAAACGAUCAAAGCCCUCCUCCAAGUCCUGUUGCAACAACUCUUACAACAUCAUCAUCACCAACCAGCAGCAGUACCAGCAACUUAGAGGAAGCACCUGCAAGAAUGCAUAGUUUACGCGAUAUUUAUGAUGUUACAGAACCCAUAGAAACAACACUCGAUUAUUCAUUAUUCUAUAUAAUGACAGAAUAUGAUCCAAUAACAUAUAAAGAUGCAAUUGAAGAUGUUAGAUGGAAAAAGGCAAUGGAUGAAGAAAUUACAGCGAUAAGAAGAAAUGACAUAUGGGAGCUAACAAGUCUACUAGAAGGACAUAGUCCAAUUGGAAUCAAAUGGGUGUACAAGACGAAGACCAACAAAGAAGGAAAAAUGGAGAAAUACAAAGCAAGACUAGUUGCAAAAGGCUACAAGCAAAGAUACGGUGUGGAAUAUGAUGAAGUAAUUACUUCGGUCGCCAGAAUUGAUACUAUAAGACUUCUCAUGGCAAUUGCAGCAUAAAAUAAAUGGAAAAUUUAAUCAGAUGAACGUGAAGUCAGCAUUCCUUAAUGACUACCUGGAAGAAGAAGUCUACAUUGAACAACCACCUGGAUAUAGCAAACAAGGACAAGAAGACAAAGUUUAUCACUUGAAGAAAUCUUUAUAUAGACUGAAGCAAGCCCUGAGAGCAUAGAACACAAGAAUAGAUGAAUACUUUUAGAAGAACGGGUUCAUGAAAAGCCCAUACGAGCAUGCUCUAUAUACGAAGAAAAAUAAAGUUGGUGACAUCAUGAUCGUGUGCUUAUAUGUGGAUGAUAUGAUUUUCAUAGGAAACAAUCCAGGUAUAUUCAAUGACUUUAAGAAAGUUAUGACUAAAGAUUUUGAAGUGACAGGUGAAAUGUCAUACUUUCUUGGAGUCGAAGUGAACCAAAUGAAAGAUGGAACAUUUGUGUCUCAAAAAAAGUAUGCGGAACAUAUUUUAAGAAAAUUCAGAAUGAAAGAUUGCAAGCCAGUAGCCACGCCCGUAGAACCAGGCAUGAAAUUAAGUGUUGGUUCAUCCAGAGAGUCAGUAAAUCCAACAUUGUUUAAAAGUAUCAUUGGAAGUUUAAGGUACUUGACUAUCACACGGCCAUACAUCAUGUACGUAGUGGGAAUAGUUAGCAAAUACAUGGAGAAGCCAAAACAAGAUCACCUGAUUGCAGCAAAGAAAAUUUUGAGACACAUCACAGGUAUGAUGGAUCAUGGUUUAUUUUAUACACACUCACAAAGUUCAAAAUUGGUUGGUUAUUUAGAUAGUGAUUAUGGUGGUGACUUGGAUGAUCGCAAAAACACAUCCAGAUAUUUAUUCCAUAUUGGCUCCGCGGCAUUUUCAUGGUCAUCGAAAAAGUAACAAACAGUAGCCAUCUCAACAUGUGAGGCAAAAUUCAUGGAUGUUGCAACAUGCACGUCUCAAGCAAUUUGGUUAAAGAAUAUUUUAGGUGAAUUAACUAUUAUACAAGAAGGUCUAAUUACAAUUUAUGUUGACAACAAGUCCAUAAUAUCUCUUGUAAAGAAUUCAGUGUGUCAUAGUCGAAGCAAGCAUAUCGAUACAAAGUAUCAUUUUAUUCGAGAGCAAGUGAAAAAUAAAAAUGUAGAGUUAGCUUACUCCAAAUUAGAAGAUUAAUUGGCGAAUAUUUUUACGAAACCAUUGAAAGCGGACAUAUUCUAUAAACUCAAAGAAAAGCUUGGAAUGAAAAGUUCAAGGGGAAGUGUUAAAAAACAAACCGACUUUCAAAGUCGGCAUAAAAAUUGCAGCCAAAGAAUUUCUAUCCAAAAUGGCUUGAAAUUGAAUUGCAAAAGUGGCUGCCACUUUGUAAAUUGGCCAGCACAAAUGAUAAAGGAUAAUGAUGACAGCAGCUUGAAUAGUCUUAGACGGCAAGGCUUGAUAAAGUUUAAGUCGGUUUACUAUGCUUAUAAAUAUGUAAGUAGAGUCUUAUGAAAUUAAAAUUAAAUGAGUGUGUGUGAAAACGUUAGUGAGCUUGAGAGGAAAAAAAAGAAAGAAAGGUGUUGUGAUUUGUAUAAAAAGGAAAAACUAGCAGCAGCUAGUAUAGAGAGAAAAAAGAGUUUAUAUUUGUAUUGUGUUUAUUUGUGUGUAAUAAAAAAUUAGUAUUUGAGUUAUGUUUAUUACCGUUCCAACAUAUUAUAUGUUCUAGUGUUGAUGGCAUUGGCAACUGAUGUUGUGUCCAAGAAGCUUGACGUCGUGCUCAUGACAUUGGCUGCUGUUUGUAGGCUCUAAUAUAAUGUUUCAAUGGAAAUGCCCCUAGUCCUGUAAUCAACAGAUGGUGCUAUACCCCUUAGAGUACUAUGGGGUCCAAUUUGUUCUUUACUUUUAUCAAUCAGACCACCACUGUGGCAGGAAUCAGAAACGAUUGUGAAGCUUAAUUAAUCUACUUGGUACUUGCUGAAUCAAGUGCCCCAAGUCGACGUCUGCGCAACCAUCGCAACCACCAUAUGAUAUGAAAAAUAGUUCGCUUCGAUUGAGGGUGUUUCAAUACUUUGAUAUAUUUGACCUCUAAUAAGAAAUCAACAUAUGGAGUGGGUGAUUAAUCCGAAUUGGGAGAAGGACAGGUGUUGUGAUGGACAAAGAGGAAGACAAGGUGGUUUCCAACAGAAGCAAGAAAGCUCUAGCAAAAGGCAGCUAGGUAUUCCUUUUCAGACGAAGAAGAUAAAAAUAUAGAACAUAUAGGGUGGUGGUCGAAGAUAAAUGAUUAUAACAACACUGAUAUGAUCUGCUUCGCCUUCGUCCAUCACCUCAUCUUUAUGUUUUUAUCUUGGUCGUGACUCACGUUGGCCUUCGUCUGCAAGUGCUGUCGGUCCUACAAUCGUGAUUCUGUUGCCUAGCCUUUGAUUUCUAUAGUUUUU